CCUGCCUUCUCUCUGAGCCAGCAAUUUCUAAAACCCUUACUCCCGCCCUCCCUCUUCUGAGCCAUCAAUUUUCAAGACCCUCAAUCCCACUCUCUCUUCCUUUCUCUGAACCAAGGGUUAAGAAUUUUAGAAGGGGAGGGUAAAAAUUUGUUGGAAUUUCUUGUAAUAAUUUUUCAGAAGAAGUAAUAGAAGUUGUGUUUCUGCAACAAGAGGUAAGUAGAGUGGUGAUUUUGAAGGAGCCCAAUGUUUCACUAAUCCAUGUCCCUCCCACCACUAAAUUUUCGAUGGUCCUCUCUCACAGGAGGUAUAACACGACUGUUUAAAUCUCGUCACCACUAGCACUCUCGACAGCUGUUGUCGCAUCUUUCGUCAGAUAGCGAUGGAAACUAUGGAAGUGAGUUCAGCUAAUGACAAUGAUUGUAGCUUGGACUAAGAGAUGAGAACGGAAAAAUAUCAAUGUAGUGGCUGCAAGCAGUGUGGAAUUGUUAUCGCUGAAGAUAUUAUCAAUCAUACAUUUUCAACAUUUGAGGUAGCAUAUGAUAUGUAUGUGAGAUAUGCCAAAUAUGUUGGCUUUGGAGUUUGGAAAGGUGAUUUUGUGAAAACCAAAGAUGAUUGUUACUCAAAGCAAAAAUUCUUUUGUAAUAGGGUCGGAUUGAGAGAGAAGAAAUACUAUGACAAUGUUCACAAAAAAGGAAACGAAGGGUUGAGACACCAACUAAUUGUCAAGCUAAAUUGUGUUUAUACUUUGAUAAAUGUGCAACUGUUUAGAGGGUUAAGAAUUUGUUCGAUGAACAUAACCAUGACUUAGUACCACAAUGCAUGGUUCACCUAAUUCUGAACCAUCGGCAGUUAACUAAUGCAAACAAGGCACAAGCUGACAUCAUCCAUAUGUAUGGUGUGCCAACAUCUCAAAUUAUGGGGUUUAUGGCUGGGCAAGGUGGUGGGUAUGUCAGAGCUGAUUUUACAAAGAAAGACUUAGAUAACCACCUUGAUAGGAGUCGAUGGUUACGCAUUUUAGGUGGUGAUGCCAACGCCACCAUAAGCUACCUAUUUGAAAAGGCUGACGUUGACCCGAUGGCUAUGGCACGAUAUAGUUCAACUGCGACGGAUCGGUUGGGUAGCUUAUUUUCGGCCGAAGGAAUAUGCCGAGCUGAUAAGUACAAGAAACCCUUGGUAAUCUUUUCUGGGAGUAACCAUCACAAGCAAACGUGUAUAUUCGGGUUUGCCAUACUUGAUAAUGAAAUGACAUCUACGUACAAGUGGCUACUGGCUAAUUUUUUAGAGGUUAUGAUGAACAAGCAUCCUAAAGUUGUUGUAACUGAUGCAGACGAGGCUAUGAAAGAGGCGAUGAAUGAGAUUUUUUCAAAUAUAACCCAUAAAUUGUGCGGAUGGCAUCUUCAAAAAAAUGCUACUUUGAGAAUCAAGGACCUAGACUUAUGUGAAUCAUUUAAAAAGUUCAUUUAUGCCAAGUAGAAUGUUGAUGAAUUUGAGGAGGAAUGGUCAAAAUUGGUUGAAGAGCUUGGUGGUAGUGACACGUCAUGGAUUGACAAACAAUAUGAAAACAAAGAAAGUUGGGCUAGGGCGUUUCUUUGAGAUAAAUUUUGUGCUGGUUUUAGAAAUACUUCAUAAAGAGAUUUUUUCAUUCAAGGCAGCAUUUUAGAGUUGGUGGAGAAUCUUGAGCGGGCUUUACGAGAUUAUCGCAACAAUGAGAUGGUUGCUCAAUUCAAGACAAGCAAUUCUGAUCCUGUUUUGACAACUGGAUGGCUUACAGUCUCUCAAGUUUUGUGCUGCAAACAUCUACACUAGAAAGAUAUUCAAACUAAUGAGAAAGCAAAUUGAAGAAGUGGUUUCUUUAGACAUUAUACAUAGUUAGCCCCUUUCCACAACUAUAGUAUACAAGAUUUGUGCUUUUUAAGAUAGAGUCAAAAUAUUUACAGUUGUAUAUGAUCGCAAUGAGAAGAAAUUGAAGUGUGAAUGCUGUCAUUGGGAUCACGAAGGGUAUCCUUGUAGUCAUAUGUUGUGUGUGCUGAGACGAGAGAAUAUAGAUGAAUUGCCAGAAAAUCUAAUUCUAAAAAAAUGGACCCAAGAUGCAAAGAAGUAUACUAAUAAUCAAACAGUCAAGCACUGCAAAUGAUGCUAAAAAAGGUUUGAUGUAUUGCAUCUUGUUGCUGAAUUUGUUGGUGAUCCAUGUGUCGCAAAGACUAAAGGUGCACCCAAACUCAAGAAGAGUGAAACUAGGAAAAGGUCAUGUUCAAAUUGCUUCGUGAAGGGUCAUACAAAGAGGCAUUGUCCAAAGUUGGUUGAUGAAGGUGACCGGAGCUAUGACCAUGUCCCUUUUCGAUGUACAGAUACAGAUGAGGAUAUUUAUGCAAUGAUUGCUAAAUUUUGUUUUUGGAAAAUUUUUUAUCAAUUAUUUUCAUAUUAGUAUGUUAAUCAUAUUUAUUCUCAUAGCAUGGUUAAAUAUUUUGGUUGUGUAAUUCCAUCUAUGUAUAGAUAUAAUAAGGAAGAAAAUGUGACAAUAGGUUGUAAUUAAUUGUUUUUUAUUUAUUUUGACAUGCUUGAUAGGCAGCAAAAGAGACUCUUGGUGCCACUAGGAGUGAGAAUAAUGGGCGUAAUUGUACUGCGGAGUCUAGUACUAAGCUCAUGGAUUCUCAAUCAAAUAUGGGAGAGGCGGUCAUAGGAUCGCUUUCAAGGGUCCAAUUUUAUCCAACUCUUACUAACUUGUUUCCAACACCACAGGGUACAGUAGCUGCCCAACCAACGACUCUGCAAAAUAUUAGGCAUCAAUGGCUCUUACAGGCCAUGAAAGCUAGGAAUACUUGGAACCAAUAGUGAAAAAUAACUUAAUUUACAGAACAGAUGAGCUUUUUGCUUUUGAGAUGUUACAUUGUCUUUCUGAACCUUUUCAAUAUUCUAGUGUUGUUAGUAUGUGAACUGUACAGAUAUUUUGUCCUUUUGUAAUUUAUUUUUCUUAAAUGAAUUGUACUCACGGUAUUAGUUCAAUGAAUUCUGAUGGCUGUGUUGAAGUAUUUGAUAUGGAGAUU